GAACACAAAAUGGCGACACGUGGUUAGCAUUCGUCGCCAACGAGAAAUUGGGGUCGGCCCGAAAGCUCUAGAAUGCACCCCUCUUCCUCCCCGGGGCCUUCCACCUCCGCGAGUUUUAUGACUUAAAAAAGCCCACAGGCUGGUCUGAAGAGGAAGACAAACAUAAAGAUGAAGUGCUUAAUUCAAGGUCACACAAUGUCGGGGAUGGACCUCCAGAUUUCCUUACUGGUGAGACGUGGUCUUGUAACACAGUGGUUAAGAAUGUGACUUUGGAGCCAGCCUGCUAGGGGCUGAAUUCUGACUCAGCCAUUUACUAACUGUGUGACCUUAGUCUCACUGUUGCUCAGGCUGGAGUGCAAUGGCAUGAUCUCGGCUCAUCACAACCUCUGCUUCCUGGGUUCAAGCGAUUCUCCUGCCUCAGCCUCCCGAGUACCUGGGACUACAGGCACUCGCCACCAUGCCCGGCUGAUUUUUGUAUUUUUAAUAGAGAUGGUUUCACUAUGUUGGCCAGGCUGGUCUCGAACUCCUGACCUUGUGAUCUGCCCACCUCAGCCUCGAAAAGUGCUGGGAUUACAGGCGUGAGCCACUGCGCCCAGCCUUGUAUUUUUUUUCAGUUUGGGUAGCUGUCCCUAAUUCAUUUGUUAAAGGAGAAGCAAGAGCAAGAACCUUUAAUCUGUUCUCCUCUUCCCUAAUUUGAAAGUAGCUUGUUAUUUUGAAUAUCACUUUCUCUGAAAUAGCACAUCUCCAUCUCAGAGAAUGGAUUUAAUGUUUGGAUACAGCCAAAAGUCAUUUCAUUACCAAACCAUGGGGUGAAUAUACCAUGUAAAGCAGUUUGGGAUCAGAACUCACAGUCUGAAUUGUAAGUGAUGAGACUGCUGUCUCUCUGCUACAGCUUCUUGGCUGGCUCUGAAGGCUCUUUGAAGGCAGAUCCUAACAAGGGGACUGCUUUGAAGGGCCAUUGUUCAUUUGGAAUGAUAAAGUCUAUGUUGUUCAAAAAACAAAUGCUUGUAGCAGGUAUUUUUUCACUCCAGACUGAGAAUAUUGGUGGGAUAUUGAUAAGGGGUACUGAAUGGUAAUAAACAUGUGCUCUAGCUCUGUGCUAGUCAGCUUAUUUCAGAACUCUAGUUUGAUUCAGUUUCUUGCCUCUGACUCAAAAUGGAGGGAGAGUGAUUUUUACAUAAGAGAACACACCCACAUAUCCUUUUGGCAGCAGCUACCUGCCAGAGAUGUUGAAGAAGAGUAGCCAACCUUUACACAGCAGAUAUUGUGUGCCAGUCAUAGUCCUAAGUAUAAUACCUUACAUGUAUAAACUUCUUAUAAGGUUGGUGCUCUGUACCGAAUUGAAUAGUAUCCCCCAAAAUUCAUGUUGUCCCAGAACCUAUGAAAGUGAUCUUACUUGAGGGAGGGGGGAGGGGGGAGGGAUAGCAUUAGGAGAUAUACCUAAUGCUAAAUGACGAGUUAAUGGGUGUAGCACACCAGCAUGGCACAUGUAUACAUAUGUAACUAACCUGCACAUUGUGCACAUGU
rnacentral:lncRNA from 1 species